GACUACACGCUGGCGGCGUGCCUCAGACAUGCAAGUCGAACGAUUAAAGCUCUCUUCGGAGAGUGCAUAGAGUGGCGCGACGGGUGAGUAACACGUAAGUAAUCUACCUUCGAGUGGGAAUAACGUCCGGAAACGGACGCUAAUACCGCAUAAUGCAGCGGCAUCGUAAGAUGACAGUUGUUAAAGAUUUAUCGCUUGAAGAGGAGCUUGCGGCAGAUUAGCUAGUUGGUAAGGUAAUGGCUUACCAAGGCUACGAUCUGUAACCGGUCUUAGAGGACGGUCGGUCACACUGACACUGAAUAACGGGUCAGACUCCUACGGGAGGCAGCAGUCGAGAAUUUUGGGCAAUGGGCGAAAGCCUGACCCAGCAACGCCGCGUGAAGGAUGAAGUAUUUCGGUAUGUAAACUUCGAAAGAAUAGGAAGAAUAAAUGACGGUACUAUUUAUAAGGUCCGGCUAACUACGUG
rnacentral:rRNA from 1 species